rnacentral:tRNA from 2 species
GGCUCGUUCGUCUAGGGGUUAGGACGCCGCCCUCUCAAGGCGGUAACACGGGUUCGAAUCCCGUACGGGCUA